ACGUAGGCAGCAAGCGUUGUUCGGAGUUACUGGGCGUAAAGAGUGCGUAGGCGGUGCCCUAAGUCUGUUGUGAAAUCUCCCGGCUUAACUGGGAGGGUGCGGUGGAAACUGGGGUGCUUGAGUGUGGGAGAGGUAAGCGGAAUUCCUGGUGUAGCGGUGAAAUGCGUAGAUAUCAGGAGGAACACCGGUGGUGUAGACGGCUUACUGGACCACGACUGACGCUGAGGCACGAAAGCGUGGGUAGCAAACAGGA
rnacentral:rRNA from 1 species